CAAGAUAAAGAACUUGAUGUAGAAACUCUGGAGGAGUUACCACUUUUACUGCUGUGUAUAGCGAUAGCCAGACCAACGUUUCAGCUCCACCAACCUGAUAUACACUACAGGAUGUUGACAAUUUAGGCAAGGUGCCUAGGGCUUACGGCAGUUUGAGGUCUGAUCCAGUGUCCCCUCAGUUUGCUUGAGCCAGCUCUGCUUGAAGGUGUGAGGAAGAGGGGCUCGGGGAGGGUUGACAAGAAGCUCAGACCCUGUGCAGCAGAAACUCCUGUGCAAAACCUGUGUUUCUUGUCUCUUCAAGAGCGAAAACAGCAACCACAAAGUCCGUAAAACGUUGAGGCCUGGUGGGAGUGCUUGCAAACGUGCCAGAGAACUGGCCCGGGACCUCAGAUUUAGAUUUGUCCUUGAAAAUCACCUUCAACCCGGCUGGGUUGCUGGUGACAUCGAUCGUUUCCCACCUCCCAAGCUUCGAUAAGCAGCUGAUGUCCAAACCUGGAGCAGUUUCACCUGUAGCUGGGGCCUGUAGGUCUGGAGCUGGUGCAAAGCAAGAGCUGCGGGUUGCUUUAUCCUGGUUGAAAAAACGAAUGGCUGGAGCGAGCAGGGAGCGCGGCCCUGCUGUCGUACAACCGCUCUCGAUGCCCUUAAUCAUGGCUGAGGAAGGACCCAGGCCUUCACUUCAAAUUCCCGCAUCUCCCUUAAAUUCAGAAACUAAUGAUGAACAGCAGAGCUUGGCUUUGGCUCCAGUUGUCUGUACAGGAUGAGAUGGGAAUUAACAUUCAUUAAAAUAUUUUUGAAUAUUUUGGUAUAAGUGGAAGAGUGGGGGAAAAAAAUUCCUGGGUUCUUUCUCCUGUCCCAUUUAUUUCCAGUAUGGGAAAUCAUUAUCUUAAGGAGUUAUGGUUUAUUUAAGUAUCACAAGCAUAUUUGGUGUCCCCUCACGUGCAAACUUAGUGACUUGUAAGGGGACUAGAAGA